rnacentral:rRNA from 1 species
UACGUAGGGGGCAAGCGUUGUCCGGAUUUAUUGGGCGUAAAGCGCGUGUAGGCGGCCAGAUAGGUCUGCUGUGAAAACUCGAGGCUCAACCUCGAGAUGUCGGCGGAAACCGUCUGGCUAGAGUCCGGCAGAGGGGGGUGGAAUUCCUGGUGUAGCAGUGAAAUGCGUAGAGAUCAGGAGGAACACCGAUGGCGAAGGCAGCCCCCUGGGCCGACACUGACGCUCAUGCACGAAAGCGUGGGGAGCAAACAGG